AGAGUUUGAUCCUGGCUCAGGAUGAACGCUAGCGGCAGGCUUAACACAUGCAAGUCGAGGGGCAGCGCGGGAUAGCAAUAUCCUGGCGGCGACCGGCGGAAGGGUGCGUAACGCGUGAGCGACAUGCCCGUUGCCCGGGGACAACCGGUGGAAACGCCGACUAAUCCCCGAUGGGAUACGAUGCUUCAUGGCAUUGUAUUGAAAGUUACGGCGGCGACGGAUUGGCUCGCGUCCGAUUAGCUUGUUGGCGGGGUAACGGCCCACCAAGGCUACGAUCGGUAGGGGUUCUGAGAGGAAGGCCCCCCACAAUGGGACUGUGAACCGCUUUUGCCUGGGGGCAAUAAGGGCGUCGCGCACGUCCGAUGAGAGUACCAGGCGAAUAAGCAUCGGCUAACUCCGUGCCAGCAGCCGCGGUAAUACGGGGGAUGCGAGCGUUAUCCGGAUUCAUUGGGUUUAAAGGGUGCGUAGGCUGUGCGUCAAGUCGGGGGUGAAAUUCCGGUGCUCAACACCGGGGCUGCCCUUGAUACUGUCGCGCUGGAGUGCGGAUGCCGCCGGAGGAAUGAGUGGUGUAGCGGUGAAAUGCUUAGAUAUCACUCAGAACACCGAUUGCGAAGGCAUCUGGCGAAUCCGUAACUGACGCUGAGGCACGAAAGCGUGGGGAUAGAACAGGAUUAGAUACCCUGGUAUUCCACGCCGUAAACGAUGAUGGCUAACCGCCGGCGACACACUGUCGGUGGCCAAGCGAAAGCGAUAAGCCAUCCACCUGGGGAGUACGUCGGCAACGAUGAAACUCAAAGGAAUUGACGGGGGCCCGCACAAGCGGAGGAACAUGUGGUUUAAUUCGAUGAUACGCGAGGAACCUUACCCGGGCUCGAACGGCACCUGGAUCGCCCAGAGAUGGGCGAGUCUUCGGACAGGUGUCGAGGUGCUGCAUGGUUGUCGUCAGCUCGUGCCGUGAGGUGUCGGCUCAAGUGCCAUAACGAGCGCAACCCCUGCCGCCAGUUGCCAUCAGGUGAUGCUGGGCACUCUGGCGGGACUGCCACCGCAAGGUGUGAGGAGGGGGGGGAUGACGUCAAAUCAGCACGGCCCUUACGUCCGGGGCGACACACGUGUUACAAUGGCGGCCACAGAGGGAAGCUACCCCGCGAGGGGAUGCGGAUCUCGAAAAGCCGUCCCAGUUCGGACUGGAGUCUGCAACCCGACUCCACGAAGUUGGAUUCGCUAGUAAUCGCGCAUCAGCCAUGGCGCGGUGAAUACGUUCCCGGGCCUUGUACACACCGCCCGUCAAGCCAUGGAAGCCGCGGGCGCCUGAAGUCCGUGACCGUAAGGAGCGGCCUAGGGCGAAAGUGGUAACUGGGGCUAAGUCGUAACAAGGUA
rnacentral:rRNA from 1 species